AAACCAAAAAGAGAGUAAACAAGGGAAAGAGCAAAUUUACCUGUAUUCCAAUGGUGAAUCAGAACCAUGAUUGGUACCAUUUAAGAAAGGAGUAGAGGGUAUUUAAACAUUUUAAUUAAGCAGUAGUGGAGACUGCUGGAUUGUAAAAUGGAAGAUAUUCUAGAAUAAGCUAUUGUUGAUAGAGUUGGAGUUUUCCUUUUCAUUGUUUAUAUAAUUUGUUAUAGCUUUAUAUUCACCUUCCUACUAAUAAUAGCUGGGAAUAAUGAUAAUCAAGGACAAUGCAUGUAUAUUUUGAGGGAAGAAAUGGAAUAAAAAAGAGGUGCACACCCAAAAUGCCUGCUGUCUGGAAUAAAUGCAGUCGUAAUCGUGUUUUUUUAACAUAACAUUUUCUGGACCCCUAUAAGACUAAGCAUGUGCCUUGGGUUGCUUUAGCACCUAAUUAGGUGCACACAUUUAACUACCAUAGUCACAGUUCUCCAUUUUAUCUAUUCUGCUUUAAUCCUGUAAUUGACAUCCUCCAUUCCUUAAUCCAAUAAUUGGGAUCCUCAUUCUCACUAUUCCUAUUAGAAAUUUGGAAUGUGUGGGAACUCUAAGCCUAACCCUAUUUCAUGCACUUCCCCUUCCAUUACUAAAAUGAUGUGUACAUCCUUUUUGUACUUAGCUUGGAACCCUUGGACUCAUUCAAAGUCAAGCACUUCGUUUCUGGAAUUUUAGAAAAAAAGGAAAUCCAGCACUUUAGUUCCUUGUGUAUAUAUAAGUAAGUCCAAAAUGAUGUAAUUUUGAUAAAAGAAAAUAAAAGGGCUAAAUUUUUGGAUUUGUUGAAGCUCAAGAAUAAUCAAAGUGUUUGAUUUUGACAAGUGGAGGAUCAAAAUGUGCAUUAGAGAAUUGUUUGAUGUGCUAGUUAAUGACCAGAUUGUGG
rnacentral:misc_RNA from 1 species